GAGAAGAAAAUAAUUUAUGUCAAAGAUGCAGUCUCCAGGUUCCCUUGGGUUCACUGUAUAUUCAUAAGGGGGCUCCCCCCUACCCAGUAUACAUGUGAAAGUGUUCCUUGGUCCUAUGCCAUAAUUCAUAUCAAGAGCUGAUUAAUUUUUCACAGUAAGCCUUUUAGUGUAUAUGGGUUUUUUUUUUUUUCAGUCUUGCUCUUUGGGGGUCAAGUGACCCAAGAAGGGUCUGGUGGCUAAUAUAGUGCAGGAUUUAAGGAAUUACACAAGUGCUGGAAUGUUUCCACCAAGCUUCCUUGGUAACAGCGGCCAGGUGAUAGGGAACAUUUUAUAAAUUAAGCCGCUUUUGCCAGAAAAGGAAGUAGAACGGCCACUUCAUUAUAGUUAACUGUUUCUCUCCCAAUAAUAAGAAAAGUGAAUGAUAUAUGUCCUCUGUGUCUUGCCCAAACUCAGCUAAAAAUAAUAACUAAUUCUGGGUCACACGGAUCUCAGAAGAAACUAAAUUAUCCAGAUUAGCAAAUAUAAACUGUGUUUGAAAAGGAAAAAGACAGGUAGUAGACAUUUGUGGCUUUGUGCUUCCCGGAAGCCCUUAUUUUGGUAAUAGAACCCACAUCUUCCCUGUGACAAUUGCACCUUCCUUGUCACAGUUUCUGUGGUUUAAUGAAGCAUACCCAGACCCCCAGGGUGGGCACGUGGCCCAGGUCUGCCUACAGGGAGCUCUGAGUACCUGGCUAGAGAGGUCAGGUUAGGGAUUGGCAUAAAUCUCACCAAGUUAGUCAGAAAGAAUCCUGGGAUCUGUAGCUGUCAUCAUUCCUGAGUAAUUUCAGAGACAUGUGGGCCCAACCUCAUAAAACAGUUACAUCACAAGGAUACCUAGCAGCCCUUUGAUCAUUAAACACAUAGUGACUUUAAACACAAGUGUUAGGGACAGAUUUUUGUGUGCUCCUCAAAUUCAUAUGUUGAAAUCCUAACCCCCAAGCUGAUGGUAAUAGGAGGUGGGGCCUUUGGGUGGAAGGUGAUUAGGACAUGAAGGAGGAGCCCUCAUGAAUGGGAUUAGUGCCCUUAUGAGAAGAGACCCAAGAACUUGCUUCCUCUCUCUGUUCUCCACCAUGUGAGACACAAUGAGAAGACAGCCACCUACAAAUCAGGAAGAAGGCCAUCACCAGGAACCAAAUAAGCUAGUACCUUGAUCUUGGACUUCCCAGCCUCCACAACUAUGGGAAAUCAAUUUCUGUUGUUUAAGCCACUCAAUCUAUGGUAUUCUAUUAUAGCAAACUUUACCAACUAAGACAAUAAGCUUCUUUGUAUAAUGUAUACACAAUUAUUUGUGUAUUUCUUUCCCCAUCACUGAGCUAUGGACCCAGGGAACAAAAGCCAUAUAUAUAUAUUUUAAUCUCAUAUUCCCAGAAGACCUAGCACACAUGUGCUUCACACAUGAAGUCAUUGGAUACAUACAUCAAACUGAAUCAGCUUCAGGUCUGCCGAGGCAUAGGUGAUGGAUUCCCUAAAGCGGAUGGACACAAUGGCAAAACACUGUUCAGAGAGGUUCCCUGACCUAUCCAAGGUUUCACUUAAUAGAUAUAUUAUGAAGGAGAUAACUUUAUAAAAACCAUUACUUCAUUUGCUAAAGCCCUUCAUGAGACAACUCCUUCAGAACUAAAAGCAAAAUACUUCACUUGCUGAGGAAAAGGUAUUUUUCCAUUUGUGCAUAAUAAAUGACCAUGUUUCCUUCUCUGCUUUGACCACGAGGAAGCUCUGAGGCAAAUUUACUGCUCAGUCAUUGCAAGUGUGUAAGAUCUUUUGGGUUUGCUCAUCUCCCUUCCGCACUUGUUCUAAUUUCAUUUAUCUGGUGCUGCUACUUAAUUUUAAAUUUGUAUUUUAUUAUAUGUAUUUUCUAUAUAUUCUUUGUAGAACAAGAUAUGUGAUAUUAAUAGGCCAGUUAUGGCUCAACUAAUAACAGUUUGAAAGUACAUGGAUACCUGAGAUAACAGUGCUGAGUGACUAGAACAAGGGGUUACAUGCUUGGUUCUUAUAAGGAGGAACGUACUGAAUAUCAAGAAUACUUCAGAGGAUCCUGGAGCAGACAUGGUACCUCCACAUAACACAGUGCACCUUGAUGAUAUUAGCAUCCACUGCCAAUAAGCAUAAAAGUAAUCAUGGGAAAGGUACUCACCUAAGAAGAUGUUGAGCCAAGAGAAUGAUAUUGCUAAAAGGGACACUGGCAUUGACAUCCUCAUAGCAGCAGCCUAAGACCCUCAGUCCUUGAAGGUGAGUCCUGGAACUAUAGCCUAAUACCCAUGAAAUUGUUUUUUCACGCCUAAUAGUGUCCUCACCCUGCGUGCUGGAUAAACAGGCGCUGAAGUGGUUUCUAUGCCAGGCUUGUUUUCCUUCUGAAACAUGAUCCUUAAAGUAACUUCAGAAAACAGAAGGUCAACUCUAAAGACAAAAAAAAAAGAAUCCAUGGUUACAUAAAAAAGCCUUUCAGUAAACUAAGAUACUAUUCACAGAAGUUGUAAAAUAAUAUGUUACUAGUUCAUAAUUUUAAGUAUUUAGAAUAAGAGGACUCAUGAGGAAAGUGCCUACAAGCAUCUAAGGGUAGUACCUUGGGUCAUUUUUCUGAAGGUGAUUAAGAUGAAACAAAGUGUUCUUCAUAGUAUAACAUAGGCCACUUUGAAAUAUAAAACUGUGAGUAUUUAACUCUUAAAAAGGACAAAGAAAUGUCAGAUGAUAACGUGGAUGCUAAAGGUUAUGGCAAUGGUUCGUUUUCCUAGCAAGCCCACAAAGCUGGCCAAGAGAGAAUGGCUUUCACUUUGGAAAUACCCUCAAGACGUAAGUUUCACCUUCCAGGUAUCUUUGGAAUGCAAGAUCAGGAAUUAUGAAUGAGCUCUCCCAAAUACCCUCAGCGUCAUUGGACCUAGGCUAACAACGAUGAAGAUAAGACCCCACAUUGUUUAAGAAUCUGGCCUGAAGAAGCUGGAUGGAAGACUACAGGAAGCACUAAAAUUCAUCUUGGGUAGUUUGGAAACUACUUUUCCCAUUGCAGCUGUAACCACGCUAUGACCACAAGAGUUUUGGUGGACAGAGCCCUACCCUUUAUCAGGCAUGUGAACAUCCCAAUAAAAUUUCUAUACCACUUACAAAAGAUAAAGGAAUUCACAUGGUUUCCCAGACCAAGUUCUACUGAUAGGAUAUGCAAUUCAGUCAACAAUCACAGCAAGUAAAUAAAACAGAAAUUUGAGAUUACAAACCUUAACGAGAUGAAUGAGGUAGAUGAGGCCCUCCUGGGCAGAAAAAGCAGCAGAAGCAACAGUGAUCUUCCGCCAUGGUGUUCAGAAAUACAAAGUUGUGUCAGACAAGAUUGAAUUAUCAGAGGAUUUGACUGCAGUUUGCAAGCUUACAUAAAAAGGAGGAGAGGACCCAUCUGUUCUGUUGAACAAUGGUUUUCUGAAACUUCGUCAAAUUGAAAGGGUAAUCCAGUUAAUUAAUCAGACUCUAUCAGAUAUCGACUGGAAGCUGAAACCAACGCUCGUUAAAAUGAGGGUGAGGUUCUUGUACCUCAAUGAAAGUUACUACAACCUUUGCCAGAAGGUGUAUGAAAACACUCUUUUUUUAAAAAAAAAAAAAAUCACAUUACUUUUAUUUUAAAAUUUUUUUAUUUUUAAUUUUUGUGGGUACAUAUUAACUUUUAAUUUUUGUGGGUACAUAUUAAUAGUACAUAUUAGUAACCAUUUUAACUGAGGUAAGAUGAUAUCUCAUUAUAGUUUUGAUUUGUAUUUCUGGAAGUACUCUUUUGUGGAAAAGAAAACAAAUGUCUCUGGGUGAGAUGUUAACUCACUACUUUGCUUUUACUUUAAAGCAAAAAAGUACUAAACAAUUAAAAGAAAGAAAUCGAUCUGCACCAAAUAUUUGUAUCAUUUCAUCUUCUCAACAUGUGAGGUUACAAAAAAGGAAACGGAGGCUCAAAGAAGCAAAGUAGUUUAAGGAGCUUUCCAUAGCUAGUAAGUUUCUACCCAGCAUUUCAGAUCAGAAUUAAAAGUAUCCAUAGCCCCAGCUAUUUCCACAAUAUGCUGCCGCCAUUUGGGGCAAAGUUCUCUGUGUGGAUGAAAGGAGAGAAAGACCAAGGGAAUGCUCUGAAGAGGUAAGUAGGAGGCCUUCCUGUCCUGAAUAGUAAGAUAAUGGCUGAAGAUUAAAUGGGGAAGCUUUUCUGCAUGUGGGUGCUAAUGAGAUCACAUUAAUAUGUCAGCUUUUGCUGGCUCCAAAGCUCAGCAACUAAACUGCAGGAAACCUACUCCCUCCCCAUUCAAUAUUCUCUUUCGUUUAGAAUGUCAGGCAGUCCCUAAGUUUCACACUGCACAGCAGAUUAAUGUCAUCCUUUGGUGACACUGCAGCCAUCUGGCAGGUUGGCCCAGCUGCUCCUUCACACCUCUCAGGGCUCUCCCUGUAGCGCUGCCACACCCCAGCUAUUUGUUCAAAGCUGAGGAUUGAUUACCUGAGCUGAUUUUCUGUUCCUCUCUACUUUGGUUCCCUUCUCUGAGUUCUGGGCCUAUAUAUACAAAUGUCUUUCACACUUCUCAACAGAAUGUCCCAAAGAUAUCUCAAAUACAAUACAACCAAUAAAUAAAUACAUUAUCUUCUCUAAAAAUCUUCUCUUCACGUGAGCUGAGUUUUGAUAAAUAAACGACACCAGUACUCAUAGUGACUCAAAUCAAAAACCUGGAGUCACAUAUCUCUGGCUUCUUCAACCCGACACCAAGUCCUAUCAAUUCUACAUUCCUCUCGACUAUGAUCUCUCUCCUCUCUAUUUCCUGAAGGUCGAAUGGGUAAACCAAAUGCUCUGGGGUUCUAUCCGCAUUCCCACUCCCUUUGUCCAAGGCCUUAUCAUCUUUCUCCUCUUUACUGACUUCCAUGUUUCUUACCAGGAUCACCUUUCCAUAAUGCAUAUUGCACCAAAUUACCAGGUUCCCUAUGGUACAAAAUUCUAAUGACCUUGGGUUUGGCAUUUAUGGCCCUUUAGGAUUUGCCCCCUACUCAUUUUUCCACCAAAGUUGAAUGAUUGGCACAUUUAUACUUUCUUAAAUUUACUGACUCCAAAAUAGCAUGAAGAGAUGAUGCACACUGGGGCUCAAGAUGUAGACAGUGAAUAAUCGAGUUACGUUAUCCAAGAAUAAUGAAGUUAGAUCAUAACUUGGAUAUCUUAAGAAAGAAACAUAGGAUGGUUUACUAUUUGGAAUGAACAACAAUAUGAGGGACAGAGAAUACUGAACACCAGCAACUCUCUAAAUUAUAUCUGUGUUCUGUGUUCCAACAAAUGAAAGAACAUUGUGUUCUGUGUUCCAGCAAAUGAAAGAACAUUCAAAACAAGCAAGUUUAGAAGGCAAAAAACUUUAUUGAGAAUGUAUGGAUUGAAUGUACUCCACAUAAGAGGCAUGGCUAAAUGAAUGUUCAUCAAGGCCUGAGAUGUGUGACCCUAAGAAACAAGACUGAUGGUUUAAUAAAGAACCAACAAAGACCAAGAAAAAAGAUGAAAAUGCUAACACUGAAAGAUAAAACACCGGCUGCAGGAUGUGGGAGAAAUGUCUACUAACUGUAAAGCAUGUGGUUUGAGGUGUUCAUCUGCAAGGACGUGUAUUGAGAAAACAAAAUGGUGGUUGGCCUAUGCUUUUCUCAUGAAGCAGAGCAACUCCAGCAGCCUGAGAGAAGGCAGAAAGACACAUAGAUUAAUUUAUCUUGCUCAGAGAUACAGAGUCUGUCUAAGAAGAAUUGAAUAUGUGAGUGCUGUCUUUUGAGAUGGACAUAGAACUCUUUCUUCCCCUACCCCAACCCAAAUUUCUAGAUUUAUUUGGAGACAACAAUCUCCCUAAAACAACAUGGUGGGUGUAUGUGUGUGUGUAGCAAAUGCAUUAUAUAAGGCUGGCUCCUCAUAAGUAAUAAAUAAAAUAAUAAAGAUGUGAGUGGAAAACAAAAGAGU
rnacentral:lncRNA from 10 species